rnacentral:rRNA from 1 species
CGGGUGAGUAACGCGUGGGUAACCUGCCUCAUACAGGGGGAUAACAGUUAGAAAUGGCUGCUAAUACCGCAUAAGACCACAGUACUGCAUGGUACAGUGGUAAAAACUCCGGUGGUAUGAGAUGGACCCGCGUCUGAUUAGGUAGUUGGUGAGGUAACGGCCCACCAAGCCGACGAUCAGUAGCCGACCUGAGAGGGUGACCGGCCACAUUGGGAUUGAGACACGGCCCAG